UACGUAGGCAGCGAGCGUUGUUCGGAGUUACUGGGCGUAAGGGGUGUGUAGGCGGUUGUUUAAGUUUGGUGUGAAAUCUCCCGGCUCAACUGGGAGGGUGCGCCGAAUACUGAAUGACUUGGAGUGCGGGAGAGGAAAGUGGAAUUCCUGGUGUAGCGGUGAAAUGCGUAGAUAUCAGGAGGAACACCGGUGGUGUAGACGGCUUUCUGGACCGUAACUGACGCUGAGACACGAAAGCGUGGGUAGCAAACAGG
rnacentral:rRNA from 1 species